rnacentral:rRNA from 1 species
CCCUACGGGGGGCAGCAGUGGGGAAUAUUGCACAAUGGGGGAAACCCUGAUGCAGCAACGCCGCGUGAGUGAAGAAGUCAUUCGUGAUGUAAAGCUCUAUCAGCAGGGAAGAAAAUGACGGUACCUGAGUAAGAAGCCCCGGCUAACUACGUGCCAGCAGCCGCGGUAAUACGUAGGGGGCAAGCGUUAUCCGGAUUUACUGGGUGUAAAGGGAGCGUAGACGGCUUGGCAAGCCAGAUGUGAAAGGCUGGGGCCCAACCCCAGGACUGCAUUUGGAACUGUCAUGCUAGAGUGUCGGAGAGGCA